GGACUUAACCAAAAGGAUACGCACGGUACUAAUGGCCACCGCCCAGAUGAAGGAGCAUGAGAACGACCCAGAGAUGCUGGUGGACCUCCAGUACAGCCUGGCCAAAUCCUAUGCCAGCACGCCCGAGCUCAGGAAGACGUGGCUCGACAGCAUGGCCAGGAUCCACGUCAAAAAUGGCGAUCUCUCAGAGGCAGCAAUGUGCUAUGUCCACGUAACAGCCCUAGUGGCAGAAUAUCUCACACGGAAAGACCUUUUAUCAGGUGAUGCAUUUCCUCAUGUUUAGAAGCAGUCCAGUGGGAGCCGCCCCUUCUCCCCCACAGCCAUAGCGCCUGCCUGAGGAGGAGCCGGGGAGGCAUGUUUAGACAAGGAUGCUCCGCCUUCAGGGUCAUUACCCCAAACAUCGAUGAGGAAGCCUCCAUGAUGGAAGACGUGGGGAUGCAGGAUGUCCAUUUCAACGAGGACGUGCUGAUGGAGCUCCUUGAGCAAUGCGCA
rnacentral:sRNA from 1 species